GAUGAACGCUGACAGAAUGCUUAACGCAUGCAAGUCUACUUGAUUCUACUUCGGUAGUUGAUGGUGGCGGACGGGUGAGUAACGCGUAAAGAAUCUGCCCUUUAGUUUGGGAUAACCUUUGGAAACGAAGGCUAAUACCGAAUAUUAUGGAGAUGUCGCAUGACGACUUCAUGAAAGCUAUAUGCGCUAGAGGAGGACUUUGCGUCCCAUUAGUUAGUUGGUGAGGUAAUGGCUCACCAAGACCGCGAUGGGUAGCCGGCCUGGGAGGGUGAUCGGCCACAAGGGAACUGAGACACGGUCCUUACUCCUACGGGAGGCAGCAGUGGGGAAUAUUGGACAAUGGACCACAAGUCUGAUCCAGCAAUUCUGUGUGCACGAUGAAGGUCUUCGGAUUGUAAAGUGCUUUCAGUAGGGAAGAAAAAAAUGACGGUACCUACAGAAGAAGCGACGGCUAAAUAUGUGCCAGCAGCCGCAGUAA
rnacentral:rRNA from 1 species